AAUCAACGCUGGCGGCGUGCCUAAUACAUGCAAGUCGAACGCGAAAGUCCCGCAAGGGAUGAGUAGAGUGGCAAACGGGUGAGUAACGCGUGGGUGACCUGCCUUCGAGUGGGGGAUAACGUUUCGAAAGGAACGCUAAUACCGCAUGACAUCCUGUCUUUUAACAGACGGAGAUCAAAGCCGGGGAUCGCAAGACCUGGCGCUUGAAGAGGGGCCCGCGUCCGAUUAGCUAGUUGGGGGGUAAUGGCUCACCAAGGCAUCGAUCGGUAGCCGGCCUGAGAGGGCGGACGGCCACACUGGGACUGAGACACGGCCCAGACUCCUACGGGAGGCAGCAGUAGGGAAUUGUUCGCAAUGGGCGCAAGCCUGACGACGCAACGCCGCGUGGAGGAUGAAGACCUGGUCGUAACU
rnacentral:rRNA from 1 species